rnacentral:lncRNA from 1 species
GAAGAGGAAGGCCGACUUCCAUCCAUCGCUUCGUCCCGUCUCCUCGUGUCUCACUCUUCCUGCCUCCUCCCCCUCUUUUCUUCUUUCUACUACUACUACCUAGAGAAAAGAAAGAAAGCUCACAUCUAACACACCAGAUGGCUCGCUCUCUCUCGGGUGCUGCUGCUCUCGCGGCAUCUCUCUCCGACAGCAUCACCCUCUUCGUGAACAGGUAGGAUCAUCAUCAUCAUCAUCUCUUUCUCUCUCUCUCUCUCUCUCUCUCUAUCAAUCUAUCUAUCUAUACAUCUAUCUAUCUAUCUAUAUCAUACAUGGAUGAACCUUUGGACCCAUACUUACCUCUGUUCUGUUUUGUCUCCUACAGGCGGGGAUACGCUGCAGCAGCGGCGGCUGUGGGAAGACCGGCGGAAAAGAAAACGGUGGUGCGGAAGGUGGUCGACUCCUCGACUGC